rnacentral:lncRNA from 1 species
UUUUACACCCUUCAAUUUGCUAUUUUUAAAAUAUAUAAACUUCCAAACUAGAUUUCAUAUGGACCGUUCUAACCAAAUUUAUUCUAUUUUAUGAUUAAGGGACAACAACAAAGUCAAGAUGUCUGGAGAAUGUAGUGUAAAAAUGGUCAAUUUUAAAAGUUUAAAUAGUCAAGACACUCCAUCUCAAAUAUCUGAGAGAAAAUAUAUAAAUUAAUUCCAAGCUAUAGAUUCACUCCUAGAAAAAAACCUAAAAAUUC